rnacentral:rRNA from 1 species
UACGUAGGGUGCAAGCGUUAAUCGGAAUUACUGGGCGUAAGGCGUGCGCAGGCGGUUAUGUAAGACAGUUGUGAAAUCCCCGGGCUCAACCUGGGAACUGCAUCUGUGACUGCAUAGCUAGAGUACGGUAGAGGGGGAUGGAAUUCCACGUGUAGCAGUGAAAUGCGUAGAUAUCGUGAGGAACACCAGAGGCGAAGGCGGCCUCCUGGACCUGUACUGACGCUCAUGCACAAAAGCGUGGGGAGCAAACAGG